rnacentral:rRNA from 1 species
GACGAACGCUGUUUGCGUGCUUAACACAUGCAAGUCGAACGGAAAGGCCCUGCUUUUGUGGGGUGCUCGAGUGGCGAACGGGUGAGUAACACGUGAGUAACCUGCCCUUGACUUUGGGAUAACUUCAGGAAACUGGGGCUAAUACCGGAUAGGAGCUCCUGCUGCAUGGUGGGGGUUGGAAAGUUUCGGCGGUUGGGGAUGGACUCGCGGCUUAUCAGCUUGUUGGUGGGGUAGUGGCUUACCAAGGCUUUGACGGGUAGCCGGCCUGAGAGGGUGACCGGCCACAUUGGGACUGAGAUACGGCCCAGACUCCUACGGGAGGCAGCAGUGGGGAAUAUUGCACAAUGGGCGGAAGCCUGAUGCAGCAACGCCGCGUGCGGGAUGACGGCCUUCGGGUUGUAAACCGCUUUCGCCUGUGACGAAGCGUGAGUGACGGUAAUGGGUAAAGAAGCACCGGCUAACUACGUGCCAGCAGCCGCGGUGAUACGUAGGGUGCGAGCGUUGUCCGGAUUUAUUGGGCGUAAAGGGCUCGUAGGUGGUUGAUCGCGUCGGAAGUGUAAUCUUGGGGCUUAACCCUGAGCGUGCUUUCGAUACGGGUUGACUUGAGGAAGGUAGGGGAGAAUGGAAUUCCUGGUGGAGCGGUGGAAUGCGCAGAUAUCAGGAGGAACACCAGUGGCGAAGGCGGUUCUCUGGGCCUUUCCUGACGCUGAGGAGCGAAAGCGUGGGGAGCGAACAGGCUUAGAUACCCUGGUAGUCCACGCUGUAAACGGUGGGUACUAGGUGUGGGGUCCAUUCCACGGGUUCCGUGCCGUAGCUAACGCUUUAAGUACCCCGCCUGGGGAGUACGGCCGCAAGGCUAAAACUCAAAGGAAUUGACGGGGCCCCGCACAAGCGGCGGAGCAUGCGGAUUAAUUCGAUGCAACGCGUAGAACCUUACCUGGGUUUGACAUGGAUCGGGAGUGCUCAGAGAUGGGUGUGCCUCUUUUGGGGUCGGUUCACAGGUGGUGCAUGGCUGUCGUCAGCUCGUGUCGUGAGAUGUUGGGUUAAGUCCCGCAACGAGCGCAACCCUUGUUCACUGUUGCCAGCACGUUAUGGUGGGGACUCAGUGGAGACCGCCGGGGUCAACUCGGAGGAAGGUGGGGAUGACGUCAAGUCAUCAUGCCCCUUAUGUCCAGGGCUUCACGCAUGCUACAAUGGCUGGUACAGAGAGUGGCGAGCCUGUGAGGGUGAGCGAAUCUCGGAAAGCCGGUCCCAGUUCGGAUUGGGGUCUGCAACUCGACCUCAUGAAGUCGGAGUCGCUAGUAAUCGCAGAUCAGCAACGCUGCGGUGAAUACGUUCCCGGGGCU